rnacentral:tRNA from 1 species
UGGGGCGUCGCCAAGUUGGUAAGGCACUGGAUUUUGAUUCCAGCAUUCCCAGGUUCGAAUCCUGGCGCCCCAGCCA